CUCGUAGUCCUUCGAAUUACGAUAUUUGAUAACUAUUGUUCACCGGGGAAGUACAAAAGCUAAUACGAGAGCCUUGCGAGGUUUCGAUCGGCAUUCGGGGUGAAGAAUGUUUGUCGAGGCUUCGCGACGAUUAUCACGGGCUCGAUGAGAGUUUCGGGUCAUGACACAAUUUCUCCUAAAACAUAGCAAUUUACCAUUUAAACCCAUUUUCUAUAAAAUCACACAAUUGUAUAAAACUACUCUAGAUAAUUAAGACGAUAAUAAGUUUACUCACAGUUCUAGGAGUCGAUGUACUCCUAAUCCUAGUCUCCAAGCACAAUUUCUGUACUUUUACCAAUGUAAUUUACUCACCACCUAUCCACAAUGUACAAUACAUAAUUCACCACAUCAAUACUUGACCAUUAUAAAAUCAAUUCAGGCUCGGUGUAUAUGAAUAAUAUGGUAUGCAACUUAUCUGACUACCGCUUAAAUGCAACUUAUCUGACUACCGCUUAAAUGCGGANCAGUCUCCAAGCACAAUCUCUGUACUUUUACCAAUGUAAUUUACUCACCACCUAUCCACAAUGUACAAUACAUAAUUCACCACAUCAAUACUUGACCAUUAUAAAAUCAAUUCAGGCUCGGUGUAUAUGAAUAAUAUGGUAUGCAACUUAUCUGACUACCGCUUAAAUGCAACUUAUCUGACUACCGCUUAAAUGCGGAGCUGACCUAAUUCGGCCUAUUACAUUAAAUGACAAUUGUGCCCGAUUUGGCUCCAAAUUGCUCCAUUUCAUUUCUAAUAUUUCAAUUCACUAAAUACAAUUCCAAUAAUCUAAAAUUCAGCCUAACAACCCUCACAAUUUUUCUUGAAAAUUUCGGUCAUUGUGGUGUACUAUCACUAAAAAUUUUCCCAUUCUAUUUUCUCACUAUAAAUCAUCAUUUCAUCAAUUUUUCAAGAAAUUCACUUGAUCACAAAAUCAAUUCAUUACUUCUACACUUCACAUAGGGUUCGGCCAUUGAAGGUUCAUGGGAAAAAUGGAUUCUUUUCUUGUUGUUUUGUUUCGAAACAUGCUUAACUAACAAAAAACACUAACAUAACUUAGAAUCAAAUCAAUCUAACAUCAUUCUCUCUCCAUACCGAUUUUGACCAGCCAUGAAUUCACCAUGAAAGCAUGAUUUUCAACCAUGGAAAUUAAGGGAAAAUGCAUGGGUACGGGAAAUCACUAACAAAAUCAAAGAAAUUUUACUUUUGCUUGAUCAAAUCCUUGAAUUCCAACAUUUUCUCUUUGAUUUUUCCCACCUAGGGUUUGUUCUUCCUUGGUUUCUCUUCUCUUCUGGUUU
rnacentral:lncRNA from 1 species